rnacentral:tRNA from 1 species
GGACAGGUGUCUGAGCGGUCUAAAGAGACGGUCUUGAAAACCGUUGAGGUGCAAGCCUCCGCGAGUUCGAAUCUCGCCCUGUCCGCAA